GGAUUGUGUCUCAGUGGUAGAGCGCUCACCUAGCAUGUGUGAGGCCCUGGGUUCAAUCCUCAGCACCA
rnacentral:tRNA from 1 species